UCUUCCCUCUUUCUUCGUGCCUAAUACAUGCAAGUCGAGCGAACAGACGAGGAGCUUGCUCCUCUGACGUUAGCGGCGGACGGGUGAGUAACACGUGGAUAACCUACCUAUAAGACUGGGAUAACUUCGGGAAACCGGAGCUAAUACCGGAUAAUAUAUUGAACCGCAUGGUUCAAUAGUGAAAGACGGUUUUGCUGUCACUUAUAGGUGGAUCCGCGCCGCAUUAGCUAGUUGGUAAGGUAACGGCUUACCAAGGCAACGAUGCGUAGCCGACCUGAGAGGGUGAUCGGCCACACUGGAACUGAGACACGGUCCAGACUCCUACGGGAGGCAGCAGUAGGGAAUCUUCCGCAAUGGGCGAAAGCUUGACGGAGCAACGCCGCGUGAGUGAUGAAGGUCUUCGGAUCGUAAAACUCUGUUAUUAGGGAAGAACAAAUGUGUAAGUAACUAUGCACGUCUUGACGGUACCUAAUCAGAAAGCCACGGCUAACUACGUG
rnacentral:rRNA from 1 species